GGACUACACGGGUAUCUAAUCCUGUUUGCUCCCCUAGCUUUCGUGCCUCAGCGUCAGGAGUUGUCUAGGGACUCGCCUUCGCCACUGGUGUUCCUCUCGAUAUCUACGCAUUUCACUGCUACACCGAGAAUUCCAGUCCCCCCUCCAACCCUCUAGCCGAAUAGUAUCCAAUGCCAUUUCGGAGUUAAGCUCCGAGCUUUCACAUCAGACUUACCCGACCACCUACGCACCCUUUACGCCCAGUGAAUCCGAACAACGCUCGGGACCUCUGUAUUACCGCGGCUGCUGGCAC
rnacentral:rRNA from 1 species